rnacentral:lncRNA from 1 species
CACUUGUAAGAUUUAUAGCCAAGAUCACAAUCUUUUAAUUCUUUGAUGGAAUACAAUCACUGUGCGAAGAUUGUGAUCUGGUUGGUACACGUCAACUCGCCCAUGUUAGCCCUUGGCGGCAUCACCCCACAUGAAAAGGUUGGGAAGCAUGUGAUACGGCUGCAUGGCCUCUGCGGUUUCCUCCUCUCCUUUUGUGCUCAUAUCCAGUUGGUCCAACUUUGGCACGUGUGAUGCCUCCACCAAUUCACCAAGUCAACUGCAAUCCAGUCCUCUUGGGCUAUGAUGGCCCAUUUACACUGUUCCAAACUCCUGUGUCCAUGGCCGAGUUGGGAGCAAUUUUUGGACCCUAAGCUUUGGUGGUUCUCUUGUAAUCUUUUUAUCUUUUAAUUCAAUCAUCUACUAUCUUGGUUUCCAUCUACAAAUAGAUUGGAUUGAGUUAGAAAUCUGAAUUAUU